rnacentral:lncRNA from 1 species
UCUCCAAUUACCAUGCCAAUAUUUAAGGUUGUUCUUUAUAAAAUAUGAAUUAAUCUGUGGUCAGGCAUCAACUCGUAUGUCUAUACAUGGCAACCAUAUCCUAUUGGUUAGGCAUACAGUUAAACACAUAAAAACCCAUUAGGCACUGAAGAAUUAUGUCAACCAAGUAGGACUAGUUUGAUAUUGGUCAUCCUCAAUAGUUUGUCUGCUCUUCUUAAUCUUAGUUCCAAUAAAGCUAAUUGAUUGGUCAUCCUCUUAGUUUUAUCUAAUUAUCUAGAAACAAGUUCACAAUGAUGGCCAGUCACAAGAAUGUUCGAAACUAGAAUAGAUUAAGCAUAAGGAUUAAGAACUAAACAUGGCAUGUAAUCAGAUAAUAAUCAACAAGAUACUUCGGAAAUAAUCAUGUCAUGGCUUCAUCGUAAACCUUAGAAAAGUAGUUUAGUUACAUAGUCAUAAUAAAAAUCACAAAAGAAGUCAUGGAAAUAGAUAAAACUCAGAAAAGAAUGGUAAGAGCACGCUAAACUUUAUUUAUUCUAAUAAAAUCCUAGAAAGUCUAAUAAAAAAGCUCUCUUAAAAGAGAACAAAUUCAUAAAUAAUCAAUGAGAGAAACUAGGAAAGAAUCCUUCUUGACUUGGGAAACAUGGCAUCAGACUUGCAAGCCAAAUUUGAGGUUGAUUUCUCUUCUGGAAAAAUUCUGUAAAAAUACGGGAAACGUAGCUUUAUCUCUUAUCUUUCCAAGCAUAUAUCGUACGCCACUAGGAAAAUUCAAGAAAGCCUUCAAAUCUUCAUAAUAUGACAGUUGCGCGAUUCUGACGGGAAAGUUACUUCUGCAGGAUUAACUUUGAAAACUGGAACGUUUGGCUCCAUGGAAAAUCUUAGAUUCCUUCUCUAAUUGUCCUUGCAUAAAAACUCCUCCGGAAAGUCAAAUUAUCACCAAAAACGUCCUACAUGCACAGAUUGGAUGAAACAAAGAAAAAGAAAGUAAUAAGGCUCUUUUAAGACCAAUUCCUUAACGAAACUUAGGGAUAAUUAACCUGAAAAUGUGAUAAAUAAUGCACCUAUCAAAUACCCCCAAACUGAACACUACAAGAAAGCAUGGCUUUUGUGACGACCAACAUUCAUCACAUAAAUAUGAAAAAUCGUCACAUUUGACUAUAUGUGACGAAAUUUCAGCGUCACAAUUAGUGUCACCCAUAUAGUGUCACCGAUAGUUUAAGUGAUGAAUAUUGGAGUCACCACAUAUUUUCCUUUUACGUGACGCUUAUUGCGUCACUUAUUAUUCUAACAUGUGACGAAAUUAGCGUCACAAAAUACAAAAUUCAGUGACCUAUGUUUUUCGUCUCAUAUCAGACUUAUAAGUGAUGCUUUUUGGGUCACUCAAUAUGAUCCCAGAAUUAUAUAAUUACACUAAGUGACACUGAAAUCUUCACAUAUUCUUUUGAUGGGUGAAGCGGCUUAUGUCACAUAUGUUAUAAUCAAAUAACUAUUUAGGAAUAAUAUUUGAGGAAUCCAUUACUUAUUCAUGUUUCGUAAUCUAGAAUAGCAACUCAUAACAAUUAUAUAAGGUAAUACUUCCCAUUUUCAUUAAUCAACAAUUAAACCAUAUAAGUUCGAAUAUGUUCAACAACUAUACAUCCAACAAAAUAACAUAAACAUCCCAAAAUCAAUCUAACCCAUGGUGACCUAUCUUAAUAAUAGCAAUUUGUGAAGAACGGUACCAAGGCCUAUACAUGGACCGUUUAAGUUACUAACUAACAAAAGAAAAGUCUAAGACACAUUGAGGUGCUAACAAAAAGGUCUACCAUGUGCAUACUUAACUAAUACAAAAGACAUAACUAUCAAAAUCGUUCUUCUUUAGAGUCAUGUUCUUCCAGUUCAAGAUAAACAUUUUCACUAGAUGAGUUAUUACCACCAGAUUCCUUUGAGUUGUUGCUGGUCUGCCCUUGACUUACAGCCAAAAAAUCCAUAAUUUUUUAUGCCAAGGUUUCAUCAUCAUUUUGUAAAUCCAACUGAGCUCUCAAUUGUUCAUUUUCCUGUUACAAUUUGAGGAAACCAUCUGAUAGAAUCUUGAUCUGAUAUCUCAUAUCAGUUAACUAAGAACUUGAAGCCAUAGAAGAAACACAACUAAAGGUAUCCAUACGAGGGAAAAGACCUACACCGUUAACAAAUUUUCCUUUCCUUCCAAGGUUCUUAGCCAUGAUUCCAAAUUCAUCUUCCAAAGGUACUUGCAUGGAAUCAAAUAUAGUACCCUCAGGCGCUUAUUGGAUUAGUUUCUCCCUAACUUCAUCGUUAUUUUUCUUCAUUUUAUCCUUUCAUAUUAAAAUACAAACAAAUAAGUUUCUUUUGUUUCAAACAAAUCAACCACAAUAUGCUUAAGAAAACACCACUUAAAUACUUGGAUGUGAUCCUAAACUGAUGUAGAAGCAAACCAUUGGGUAUAAACUGUCUGUACAUAUGAUUUUGUAGUUUAUGCUUCAAUGUGUUUUACAUAGGAUUAGGCAACAUACAACGUAUAACCUUUAAAGUACUUUAUGUUUGAAUGUAUGUUACGUAUAACCUUUCAUCUUCUAGCUAGUUAUAUUAAGUUUUUUUUUUUUAAUUCAAUCUUGCAUGUUCACUUUAUUUGUGUGUUCCUAAGUUGUCUCAUGCCAAAUUUGAUUUUUUUUAAUCUCUAUCUAAAAUGACACAAAUGAUAAGUCCGUGAAUGACUUACAUAUUUGUCCCGGGCAACAUCAUUUAUCCACUGACCAUUCUUGUCUUUAUGGAGAGCCCCCCAAUUGUCAAUCACAGAUAAUGGAUUUCCUUUCUGCUCAAUAAUGCAGAAACAUACAAUAGAAUAUGUAAAUUCCAUAAUGAGUAUAAUAAGUAAUUUAAUUUCAUUACCAUCUGGGCCUUCCUAGCAUGUUGGAUAAAUGACCUUGCCCCUCCUUUGUGGUGAUACUUCUGUUUCUUCCUAUUAACAGCAUUUUGCUGUGAAAGCUCCUACAUUACAAAUUUGGUACAUGACAUACAAAAGAAGAUUUAGUUAGCUAUACAUGUGUACAAUUUGGAAAGUUUCAAGCUCCCAAACUUGUCAUAUAUAACGUCAUGUAUUUCAGUUGUACAUAUUCAUUCACCUUAGAGGGCUAUCUCACCUCACCUUCUAUAUUCUCUCGGUCAACAAUGUUAGAAACAUCACAAGCUAAGGAGAGAGAAACAUAUAAACACCAAGCUUAAGGAAAUUGAAUGGAAGAUACUCUUUCUUCUACCAAGGGCAUUAGGCUAACACUGUUAGUCAGAUGAUUAUAUGAUAACCAUUUUCAAACAUUAAAUUUUAACUCCAAAUUACCUAAGUGUCAAGAAGUAACAAUCAACAAACUUUAGAUUUUAACUCAAAAUUACCUAAGUGUAAAGAGUAACAAUCAAUUUAACCACAAGGUGAAAUUCAUUAAUGCAUGUUAGGAUAUUUUUAUUUCAAAUAUGGCUAUCGAAACUAUUAGACGAUAUGGGAUGACUGAUGUUGCAUAUAAUUGAUGUUGCAUGAUUGAUGUUGUAUACAUAUGGGGUGACUGAUUAUUAGACUAUAUGGGGUGACUGAUGCUGUAUAUAACUGAUGUUGCAUGAUUAAUGUUGCAUACAUAUGGGGUGACUGAUUAUUAGACUAUAUGGGGUGACUGAUGCUGCAUAUAUAUAGGGUGACUAAUGCUGCAUAUAUAUAAGGUGACUGAUGUUGCAUACUGAGUGAUUAUUAGACGAUAUGGGGUGACUGAUGCUGCAUACUGACUGAUUAUUAGACGAUAUGGGGUGACUAAUGCUGCAUAUGACUGAUGCUACAUACUGACUGAUUAUUAGACGAUAUGGGGUGACUGAUGCUGCCACAUUUUAUGUUUCCUUUUUCCAUGGGAUUCUUUAUUAAGUCUAAUCCCUUAAUU